UAAACUAGGCUUCUAAAAGGGCUGAUUUACCAACAAAAUAUGUAUUAUUCAAGUAUGAACAGUCAAUUCUUCACUUGUAGCAUCUGCCUGGAAGAUACAUAGUCUGUUUUUGAUGCAGGAAUAGAAUCAAACAUACGACUGGUUUCAUUAUCAUCAACAACCAGGCCUCAGAGAAACUCCACAGUGAUUGCUUUGUGUUUUGGCUUGACUGACUUAAGAAAUUCCUGCGUACUCUUUUCCAAGGAAGCAAGCACAUUUUCAAAUGCUUUGCCAGCCCACACAGGACAGAAUACUUUAGGGAGACUCAUGAUUGAGAGACAGCCUUGGGACCUAGGAGACACGUCUUGCUCUGCAGCUGACUCAGAGAAAGGACCUGAGAAAGCAACUGACUUUGACAGUUGUCCGUUACUCAUUAUGAUUCUGUGUAGUGGGCCUGGGCAGUCAGAUGGACUCAUGCCUCAGCUUCAUCCCAGACCCCGGGACUGCCAACACCGAAUUACACUGGGGGAUGAGAAUUCGCUCUUACAACAAAACAAACAAAAGCAAGACCACAUACUUCUUUGCUGUCUAAUAACCCAACAAACGAAGAUGUGGUAAGCGAGUUCUGCACUGGCCCAGAGAUCCCUCCAUGAGAACAGCAAUGGCAAGGGUCAUAUACUUCUGCCCGGUGGAAUGGGUGCAAGCUGGGGCUUCCAUCUCUCCCAAGAAGGAGCAAACACAGCAGUGCCAAGGCCUGAACCAGGUAGAUACCAAGGCUCUCGCCUUAAAGGGUGCCAGCUGCAGGCUGGUACGGCAGCCCUGCUGAGUGCUUCCUGUGUAUGCCACCGAGGAUUCCCAAAAGCCCACCCGGUCCUUUCCCUUACUGUCCUGAAAUUGUCAUCCCACAGUGGUGGAUGAGAGAUAUAAACCCCAUUUUCACAGAUUCUAAUAUAAAGUACCAAACAUAUUUCUCACUAGUAGAUGAUAUUUUACUUUUAGAAUCUGUAUAUAUAAUUAAGCCAUAUACUGUUC
rnacentral:lncRNA from 1 species